CAGUAGUGUUGUCAACACCACCGGGACAUAUUCAAAAGAACAUAAUGCUUCUUUUAAGUGCAAUAGUAUAAAACACACUAAUUACAAAUAUAAACAAACAUAAUAGGUAAAAUAUACCUAUUAUUAUACCUCGUGGAUUGAAGGAAAAUAUCUUCUAUAUUUAAGAGACAACUUUAUUAAGUAUCUUGAAUUAUAGUGGAGUCUAUAUACAUAACGUUCUCUUUGUCAACAGCAUUAAAUGAAGGAGCGUUACACAGAUUAUUUUAUUCGUUUAUCAACCACAAAUAUUAUGCGCAUUUAAAAUUACUAUGCAUUAAAAUAGAACGGGCGUGUGCAGCGACCAGAAGUAUCUUCGAAGCUCAGGUAUUCUGGGUCAUUAAAUACUUAUAGUUGUAUUAAUCAAUUGAGAUGCAGUGAUUCAAAGCAAAAACUUCAAGAUAGUAAACGAAUUGCAUACAUAAUUUCAUUAUUACUGAAAAUGUUAAAUAUGUUCAGCUUCAUAUUAAAACUUCAGUUUUCCGAUAAAAAAUGUAUGUUGAUAUUGUUUUAAAAUGAUUGAGAUUGAUAAUUAUCAAAGAUAUUGCUUCAAAUAACUUUUCAGAAUAAUUUUACGGAAUGUCAAGCAUUGGCGCAAUUAGAAUACGACUUUUGAGGGUACUCCAGCAUCCCGUACUGCAAUGAAUUUGCAUUCAAUAUUUAUAAAUGGUAGAAUAUUAAUUUGAAGGAAAUAAACAAAAGAUGAUACUAUUAUUGGACAUUAAUAUUCAUAUUAGUCACUAUUAAUUACAUCCAGAUAUUUUCAAUAAAAUCAAAUUUAAAAAAUGUAUAGAUAUUUACAACUUGAAUCACUAGAUGCCGUUGUAAAUAUACGUCACAGAUUACCAUUAAAAUCUGCGAAAAUCCCCCGAAAAUAUUUACAAUUACCACUAAAGUGUUGAUUAUAAAUAUUUUUGGUAUACUCUUUUAUCGGUAUGUAUUAAAAUAAUUAUAAAAAAAUAAUAUUUAAUUAAAUAUUAUUUUUGGUAAAGAAGGAUUAAAUGGUGUUACUUUAAAUCCCCUCAUAUUUGUAUUUGAAAAAACAAGUUGACAUCCUUACAAGGCAUAAGGGAUAAACUUAAAAAUUAUUAUAUAGUUAAAAAUUCAAGAAUAAUGUGUAACUAAGGAUAACAAAAAAAAAAAUUUAAUUAUUUUUAUUCUGUAAGAAAUUCAGUAUUUUAUGAUAAAAAAAAUCACACUGUAUAUAAUUAUAAACACAUCAUAGUAAAAUUAAUACAUUCUCAGCUUCACAUAAAUGUUAAAUUGUUGACACCUCUAAUGGUUAAAGCCAUUAAUUUUGCUUGAUAUUAUUAGUCUUAACAUUAAAUUGCUUAGUUUUUCAGAAUAGUGUAAAAAUGAAUAAUAAAAAAUUCUAUGAAUAAUAGAUAAUUAUGUUAGUUAAAAAUUAAAAUAUACACCUAAAAUUUAUAGCAUAAUAAUAUAAGAUAUUACAAUGUUACAAAUUAAAUAGUUUGUUUCUAGUAUUAUUUUCGACCGUUGAAUCGCAAAACUAUCUCAUAAAACAUCAAACCCAUUUUGCCUGCUAAUUAUUAGUGUAUAAACGUUCUUAAAGACGAGGUAAGGCCGAAUCCUACACUAUUGUACUAAAAAAAAUGCUAAGAUUUCUUUAAACACAAAGAAUCAUAUAUUUUAAAUACAGCUUGAAUAUUUAUUUAACAAUAUUAUAUAUAGUAUAAAUGACAAUCGAGUAUAAAAUAAUUAUAAUGUGUAAACUAAGAUGAUAAAAUUGUAUAGUUUUCUGUGUAGUGUAUUAAACAAAUUAAAGAUUAGAUGAAGUACUGGUAAAAGUAAUAGUUAAAAAUACUUAACGUAUGUUAACAUUUUGAAAUGGAAUAAGUUACAGACUUACCGAAGUGUAAUUGUCUCCGCGUGGAAAGCAUACAUUUUUUUUUAUACGAUUAUUACUAACUUAGGUUUAUUAACUUAAUAACUAAAUACUAAAUACUAAAAAAGUUAUGGCAAUUUGUAGGGAUAUUGUUUGUCUAGGCAAUCCAAUCAAUGAUCCAAAAAUGUACUUAAUAUUAAAAAUUAUUUUUCACUUAUUGUAUUUAAUGUAAAAUUCGGCACUGCGAAGUAGAUGAUAGGUGAUAGUUUUUUAAUUUUGAUGUUAAGAAUAGUCAUAAUCAAACUUAUUUUAUACAAGACGUUUAUAAUAUUAUUCAAUAAUAGUAAAAGACAAUGAUUUUUAUCGACCGCAGUCUUAAUCAUUAUUGAUAUUUUUUAUAAUAAAUAUCAAUUAAAUAAUAAAUUUAAAAGGAUUUUAAUAGGUUUAUAAACAAGAUGUGUUUUUGUUUUCAUUUUACAACACCACCACGAUUUAUCAAUGUAAAAUAAUUAUAAAUUAUGAAAUAUAACAUUUAUAUACCAAGAUGAAUUAAAAUAAUGUAUUCGGAAAGUUUGGAUUAUCAUAAAACACGAUUAUACGCAAAAUAAAAACAAUAUUGGAAAAAUAAUUUUUUAUUUCUUUUAAUUAUCCAUAUUUUUUGUUUAUCAACUAAUAAUUAAUUGUUAGAAUCAUCCCUUAUAACUUAUAGGGGUGUCAACAUUUAUGUUUAACUAGUUUAUAAAAGAGAAAAUAAUAUAGUUAAUGACUGAUCGUUAACAGUUUUUGGAUGAGUAUUUCAAAAAUGAUUAACAAUUUAAAGUAAUGGCUAGUGAUGAGGAGUGCUGCUAUUUUUAUCACUAGUAAUUUCUCGAAUGUAAACCUGCCGCCAAGGUAAAAAAAUGAGGAUAAUAUCCAAAGUACUGGUCCGAAAGUUAUUAUCGACCAGUCAUUUUCUUAAUUAAAUUAUUUUCUGUUUUACAAGCUAGUAAAAUAUUUAUAUAACCAUUAAAAAAUCAAGUUAACAUCCUUAUCUGUUACAGGUGAUGAUCUUUAAAAGUAAUUAUUAGUUGAUAAAUCAAGAAUUUUAUGUCACUGAAAGAAAUUAAAAAUUAUUUUGCCAAUAUUGUAUUUCUUUAUACUUAGCAAGUAAUCGAAUGAUUUAUGAUAAACCCAUCACUCUGUAUAUGUAUAUUAUUGAAUAAUAAAUUAACAGUAAAAUAUACGUCUAAAGAGAAUAGAUAAAACAAUAACAAUUUUUUUUUUCAAAACAAAUAUUUUGAUCUCAACGUUAAGAAAUUAUUGUUAUUAAUACUUAUGCUAGACAGCGCCAAGGAAAAUUAAAAACAAUACAGGACACGUACUCGUAUUUGAGCUAAGAAUAAUAAACAAAAUUACAAAAUUUAUGCCUCAGUAUUUAUUCAGAUAUAAAAAUAUUCAUUGAUAGAAAAAUAUAUUUUUCACUAUCUUUAAAGUAAUUAAUAAAUUUUAACGAAACAAUUACAUUUUACAAAUGUUAGAAAUGCUUGACUGUCAUGUAUUUCAUUUAAUUCUUUUAGUAACAAAUUAAUUUAUUGUUAUAAUGUAAAUUGAA